rnacentral:rRNA from 1 species
GACGAACGCUGGCGGCGUGCCUAAUACAUGCAAGUAGAACGCACAGUUUAUACCGUAGCUUGCUACACCAUAGACUGUGAGUUGCGAACGGGUGAGUAACGCGUAGGUAACCUGCCUGGUAGCGGGGGAUAACUAUUGGAAACGAUAGCUAAUACCGCAUAAUAUUAAUUAUUGCAUGAUAAUUAAUUGAAAGGUGCAAUUGCACCACUACCAGAUGGACCUGCGUUGUAUUAGCUAGUAGGUGAGGUAACGGCUCACCUAGGCGACGAUACAUAGCCGACCUGAGAGGGUGAUCGGCCACACUGGGACUGAGACACGGCCCAGAAUCCUACGGGAGGCAGCAGUAGGGAAUCUUCGGCAAUGGACGAAAGUCUGACCGAGCAACGCCGCGUGAGGGAAGAAGGUUUUCGGAUCGUAAAGCUCUGUUGUAAGAGAAGAACGGGUGUGAGAGUGGAAAGUUCACACUGUGACGGUAUCUUACCAGAAAGGGACGGCUAACUACGUG